rnacentral:lncRNA from 1 species
UCGGGAGGCUCAGGCAGGAGAAUUACUUGAACCCAGGAGAUGGAGGUUGCAGUGAGCUGAGAUUGCACCAUUUUGAGACAGAGUCUUGCUCUUUCACCCAGGCUGGAGUACAGUGGUGCGAUCUCAGCUCACUGCAACCUCUGCUUCCAGGGUUCAAGCGAUUCUCCUGCUUCAGCCUCCUGAGUAGCUGGGACUACAGGUGCACGCCACCACGCCUGGCUAAUUUUUGUAUUUUUAGUAGAGAUGGGGUUUCACCAUGUUGUCCAGGAUGGUCUCCAUCUCUGGACCUCCUGAUCCGCCUGCCUCAGCCUCCCAAAUUGCUGGGAUUACAGGCGUGAGACACUGCACCUGGCCACAUCGUACAUUUUGUUGGAGAACAUCCUCGAGUAACUUCUUAAGAAAGUCAAGCCGUCUGGAGCUGUGACAGCCAUCUUGUGACCAUGUGGGGAUGAGCACGAGGAAGAAGACAACAUGUGAAGGAAGAAAGUCAGAAAGAGCCCAAUUUCUUGAUGGCAUCAUUGAGCAGCUGAACCCAUGCCA